rnacentral:rRNA from 1 species
GACGUAGGGCGCGAGCGUUGUCCGGAUUUAUUGGGCGUAAAGAGCUCGUAGGCGGCUUGUCGCGUCGGCCGUGAAAACCUGCAGCUUAACUGUGGGCUUGCGGUCGAUACGGGCAUCACUGGAGUUCGGCAGGGGAGACUGGAAUUCCUGGUGUAGCGGUGAAAUGCGUAGAGAUGUGGAGGAACACCGAUGGCGAAGGCAGCCUCCUGGGCCAACACUGACGCUCAUGCACGAAAGCGUGGGGAGCAAACAGG